rnacentral:lncRNA from 1 species
GGAGGAGUCACGCCUGAAGCCACACAGCUGACAUCAGAGCCAAAGCAUGAGCCUCAGUCUCUCUGACCCAGAGCUACCACCCUUGCUGCCUUGGGAAGAAGGAAGCCCCCUCCUAUUCUAUCCUUGAGCUGCCUUGGCAAGGAGGGGCCCCUUGCUGCCGCCAUCCUCACAGGACACUAUCCACAUGAGGGGAUGAAUCUCAGUUGCACUCAGUUGUUGCCCCCCUCGAACCUCUCUUGAGCCUCAGGAGAAACCACCCUGAUUCAAGGUCCAGAGAAGACCUGACUAGCCCAAGGUAAUUCCGUCCC